rnacentral:lncRNA from 1 species
GAUGGGAGUGGACUCCUUCUGGGGUGGGUGGAACCUCUCCUCCACCCAGCUCAGCAGACCGGUUGUGAGGUUGCCGCGUAGGCACCAUGGGCAGUCGGGGAAAAUUAUCACCUGCUGAGCCCCCUUGCUGCUGCUCUCUGGGCGUGCACUGUGAGUGCACUGUGGAGUUUACGGACACCGGCCCCCGCGACGGUGGAGUUUACGGGGACCGGCCCCCGCGAUGGUGGAGUUUACAGACACUGGCUCCCGCGACGGUGGAGUUUACGGGGACCGGCCCCCGCGACGGCAGAGUUUAUGGGGACCGGCUCCCCCGACGGUGGGGGCCCACGAGUCCCAGCAUCUGCAGCAGAGUCGCCGGAUUGCAUGAGGUCAGCGAGUGUGUCCACUGCAGACCCUGCGGAGCCACCAUCCAAAACCACAUUGAGAAUAUUUCCAUUACUCUAGGAAAAGCUUCUCCGUCCAGCUGAGGCGGGAUGUCAUAGACUUACCCUCCUACCCGAAACAGCCAAAAAGCAAAACAAAACCAGACAAAACGCAGACACAUGGCUUCCAAGACACGGGACACCAGGCAUUAGAGGACAGUAACCCUGAGUGAUGGGAACAGCCGUGCCCUAGUCACCCGUGCUCACUGCCCUGGGAGGCAGUCCAGGCUGUGGGUGGGAAGGCGGAACCCACGCAGGUCCCAGUGGACCCCCGAGGCUGGACAGACCGAGGCGGCUCGAGUUCAUGGACACAGUACCAGAGUGGAGAGGGUCGCACAGAGAGGGACCCUGAAGACCUGGAUGGGACCCCUGGAGUAUUUGGAAGAGCAUGGCCCUGCGGAUCCCCAUAAGGAAACUCCCCAGGGUGGGUAAAAAGGCACCCGGAAGGAUGAGAGGGAACAGGGCCCGACUCCUGCAGGGCUGAGGACAGUGUCUCUCCCCAUCAGCCAAGCAGGAAAUCUCGUAACUCACGGGGCCUUGGGUGAAGCCCUUGGGAAGGGCUUGCCUCGGCGGGGGACGAUCAGCCUGAGCCCGAGCUGUGCUCUGAGCCCUCCUACCAAGCCAUAAAAGCAAGACUAGAAAGGAUCAAACUGCCUCCAGAUCACUUAACCGCACGUCCAGGACAAAGCUGAAGAUUUCCAGGAAGACAAAAAUCCCCGGCACCCAGCCAGGUGAAAUUCACAAGGACUGGCGUCCAAAGGAAGAGGACCUGCCAGGCAAUGGGAAAAGCAGGAGAACGGGACCCAUGAUGAGAAAAAUGAUGUAAUCAAAACCAUCCCAGGGCUGGGUGCGGUGGCUAACGCCUGUCAUCCUAGCACUUUGGGAAGCCGAGGUGGAGGAUCACUUGAGGCCAAGAGUUCAAGACCAGAUGGGGCAACAUAGUAAGACCCUGUCUCUAUGACAAAAAAAAAAAAAGGUAAAACCAUCCCAAAGUUGACACAGAUGUGAGAAUGAGCAGAGGUGGGCAUUGAAGCAGUCGUUUUUGCUGUAUUCCCUCUGUUCAGAAGUUAAGUAGAACCACAGCUCGAUGUCCCCUCAGGCUCAUUAGGAUGGUUACUAUUCAAAAAAAGAAAGUGGCCAGGUGCGGUGGCUCACGCCUGUAAUCCCAGCACUUUGGGAGGCCAAGGCGGGUGGAUCACAAGGUCAGGAGUUCGAGACCAGCCUGACCAAUAUGAUGAAACCCCAUCUCUACUAAAAAUACAAAAAUUAGCUGGGUGUGGUGGCAGGCGCCUGUAAUCCCAGCUACUCAGGAGGCUGAGACAGGAGAAUUGCCUAAACCCGGGAGGUGGAGGUUGCAGUGAACCGAGAUCGCGCCAUUGCACUCCAGCCUGGGCAACAAGAGCGAAACUCCAUCUCAAAAAAAAAAAGUAACAAGUGUUGUUCAGGGUGUGGAGAGAUGGGAGCCCUUGUGUGAUGUUGUGGAAUGUAAAACGAUGUAGCCACUGUGGGAAGCAAUAUAGCAGUUCCUCAAACAAUAAAUAAAUGGCCCAGGCGGGUGGCUCACACCUGCAAUCCCAGCACUUUGGGAGGCUGAGGCGGGCGGAUCACCUGAGGUCAGGAGUUCAAGACCAGCCUGGCCAACGUGGUGAAACCCCGUCUCUACUAAAAAUACAAAAAAUUAGCUGGGAGUGAUGGUGGCCACCUGUAAUCCUAGCUAUUCGAGAGUCUGAGGCAGAGAAUUGCUUGAACCCAGACAUGGAGGUUGCAGUGAGCCAAGAUCAUGCCACUGCACUCCAGCCUGGGUGACAGAGCGAGACUCCGCCUCAAAAAAAAAAAAAAAUAUAUAUAUAUAUAUAAAAUAAAUAAAUAAAUAAGCCCAGUGUGGUGGCUCACACCUGUAAUCCUAGUGCUUUGGGAGGCUGAGGUGGGCAGAUCACCUGAGGUCAGGAGUUCAAGACCAGUCUGGCCAACAUGGUGAAACCCCAUCUCUACUAAAAAUACAAAAAAUUAGCUGGGCGUGGUGGCGGGUGCCUGUAAUCCCAGCUACUCGGGAGGCUGAGGCAGAAGAAUCGCUUGAACCCAGAAGGCAGAGGUUGCAGUGAGCCAAGAUUGCGCCACUGCAUUCCGGCCUGGGAGAGAGAACGAGACUCUGUCUCAAAUAAAUAAAUAAAUAAAUGGGCCCAGCACGAUGGCUCACACCUGUAAUCCCAGUGCUUUGGGAGGCUGAGGCGGGCAGAUCACCUGAGGUCAGGAGUUCGAGACCAGCCUGGCCAACAUGGUGAAACCCCGUCUCUACUAAAGAUACAAAAAAAUUAGCCAGGUGUGGUGGCAGGCCCCUGUAAUCCCAGCUAUUUGGGAGGCUGAGGCAGGAGAAUUGCUUGAACCCGGGAGGUGGAGGUUGCAGUGAGCCGAGAUCAUGCCAUUGCACUCCAGCCUGGGCGACAGGGCGAGAUUUCAUCUCAAUAAAUGAAUGAAUGAAUCAAUCAAUAAAAAUUUAAAAAAUAAAACAGAUGGAAAAUUCUGUCCUGAGCACUUGGGGAAGGCAGGGCCAGGCCUUGCACUGCCGCACUCCCGGCUGGUGUUUUGACACCUGUGCUUUCAGCUCCCAGGAGCAGAGCUGGGCUUCACUCAUCUUCCCCCUCCUCUGGCUUCCCCCCAUGUGACUGCAGCCUACGUUUUAAAGAUUUUUACAUCAACUUUUAAUUUCAGAAUAGAUUUAGACUUACAUAAAGGUUUCUCUUCUUUUUUUUUUUCCUGAGAUGGAGUCUUGCUCUGUUGCCCAGGCUGGAGUACAAUGGCGCGAUCUCAGCUCACUGCAACCUCCAUCUCCUGGGUUCAAGUGAUUCUCCUGCCUCAGCCUCCCGAGUAGCUGGGAUUACAAGCAUGUGCCACUGUGCCCGGCCUCCAGUUUUUGUACUUUUAGUAGAGACGGGGUUUCACCAUGUUGGUCAGGCUAGUCUCAAACUCCUGACGUCAUGAUCCACCUGCCUCAGCCUCCCAAAGUGCUGGGAUUACAGGCAUGAGCCACCGUGCCCGGCUAAGACUUACAUAAAGGUUUCAAAAUGAACCCGAGAGUCCUGUUAAGUUUUCACCGAGGAGGCCUGGGGCAUGAGUCCAUACAGCAAACUGCAGCCUGGCAUGGCCUGAAGGCCACAGAAGGCUGGCCUCUUGUCACAGGGACUGGGUCCAGGUCACCGCAGCUGCCAGCUGUCAGUUGCCAGUGGCCGCUGAUUUCAAGGCAAAGUGCCCAGCGGCCACCACCAAAACUGCCUCUGCGCAUCACUUCCGUUUCCAUGAACGUUGUGCAGCUCCAGGUCUGAAUUUGUCCUGGUUCUAAGCCAAUUUCAGAAUUGUGAAUGAAAGCCAAUUAAGAUUUUUAAGUUGAAUUUGUUGCAAUGUUGUCUCGUGACAGUUCCAUACAGCCUGCACACAGUUUCUCUGAUUAUUUAACGUCUUACAUUCGUGAGAUGUGUUUGCUACCAUUGAUGAACUGGUAUGUACCGGCAACUCUCUGUAAUUUUUCUUUUUUUUUUUUUUUUUGAGAUGGAGUCUUGCUCUUUUGCCAGGCUGGGUUCAACCUGGGAACCUCCUGGGUUCAAGCGAUUCUCCUGCUUCAGCCUCCCUAGUAGCUGGGACUACAAGCACGCACCACCACACCCGGCUAAUUUUUGUAUUUUUAGAGAUGGGUUUCACCAUGUUGGCCAGGAUGGUCUCGAUCUCUUGACCUCAUGAUCCGCCUGCUUCGGCCUCCCACUGCGCCCGGCUGCAUCUCACUGUAAUUUUAAUUUGCAUUUCUCUGGUUCUACAGAUGUUGAGCACUUUUCUGUGUUUUUUUAUUUUUAUUUUUUAUUUAUUUAGUUUUGAGUUGGAGUCUCACUCGGUCACCCAGGCUGGAGUGCAGUGGCAAGAUCUUGGCUCACUGCAACUUCUGCCUCCCUGGUUCAAGUGAUUCUCCUGCCUCAGUCUCCCAAGUAGCUGGGAUUACAGGUAUGCACCACCACAUCCAGCUAAUUUUUGUAUUUUCAGUAGAGACAGGGUUUUACCAUGUUGGCCAGGCUGGUCUUGAACUCCUGACCUCAGGUGAUCAGCCUGCCUCAGCCUCCCAAAGUGCUGGGAUUACAGGUGUGAGCCACCGCACCUGACCCCCACCUUUCUAUGUUUAUUGGCCAUUUGUGUAAUAUCUUUUUUUUUUUUUUUGAGGCAGGGUUUCACUCUAUUGCCGAGGCUGAAGUGCAGUGGCAUGAUUUUGGCUUACUGCAACCUCCGUCUCCUGGGUUCAAGCGAUUCUCCUGCCUCAGCCUCCCAAGUAGCUGGGAUUAGAGGGCCCACUACCACACCAAGCUAAUUUUUGUAUUUUUAGUAGAGACGAGGUUUCACCAUGUUGGCCAGGCUGGUCUUGAACUCCUGAGCCCAGCUGAUCCACCCACUUCGGCCUCCGAAGCUCCUGGGAUCACAGUUGUGAGCCACUGCACCCAGCCAUGAAUGCAAAUCUUUUGUCAGAGAUAUCUACAAUGAAUAUUUUUCCCAGUCUCUGGAUUGCCUAUUCAUUUUCUUCAUGGUAUCUUUUGAUCAGCAAAAAAAAAUUGAUUUUGAUAAAAAUCUACUUUGCUAUCAAUUUCUUUUCUUGUAUGUCUGGUGUUUCUGUGACCUGAAAGAAGUCUUUGCCUACCCCAAAUUGUGACGAUUGUCCCUCGUCUUCUUCCAGAAGGUCUUGGAUUUUAUGUUUAAGUCUAUGUGACUCAUCUUGAUUUCAUUUUUGUGCAGAGUGAAAUAAAGUUAAGGUUCAAUUUUUUUCUUUCUUUCUUUCUUUUUUUUUUUUGAGACAGCCUGUUGCCCAGGCUGGAAUGCAGUGGCACAAUCUCGGCUCACUGCAGCCUUCACCUCCCAGGUUCAUGUGAUCCUCCCACCUCAGCCUUCCGCUCCCAAGUAACAGGGAUUACAGGCAUGUGCCGCCAUGCCUGGCUAAUUUUUGUAUUUUUAGUAGAGACAGGAUUUCGCCAUGUUGCCCAGGCUGGUCUCAACCUCUCAGACUCAAGAAAUCCUCCUGUCUCAGCCUCCUGAGUAGCUGGGACUAUAGGUGCGUGCCACCAUGCCCAGCUAAUUUUCAAAAAUUUUUUUAUAGAGACAGGGUCUUGCUGUGUUGCCCAGGCUGGUCUCCAACUCCUGGGCUCCCAAAGUGCUGGGAUUACGUGAGCCACGACACCCGGCCUUAAAAGGAUUUUCUACAUGUCGGAUCAUGUAUGUCUUCCUUUCCUUUUCCUGCCCUAUUGCCCCGGGACUUCCUGCACGGCGCAGAGGGAGGUGGCGAGAGAAGCCCCCGGCCCUGCUCCCCACCUCGGCCGGGGCCUUCUGUGUUUCACCAUCAGCCAUGGCUUCAGCGAUGGGUUUGGAUAGAUGGUCUUGUCGGUGUAGUUGGCUCCCUUCCAUUGCUGGUUUGCUGAGAGUUUGCACCACGAACGAUGACGCAUUUUGUCAUGAUUUUGCCUGAGGGGAUUACAUGGAUUUUUUUCUUAUUCUGUUAACAUGAAUGUGAAAGUUGUCAGAAUAAAUAUAAGGUCACUGGUGUUAAAACAACAACAGGCUGGGCACGGUGGCUCAUGCCUGUAAUCCCAGCACUUUGGGAGGCUGAGGCAGGAGGAUCACCGGAGGUCAGGAGUUCCAGACCAGCCUGACCGACACGGUGAAACCCCGUCUCUACUAAAAAUACAAAAAUUAGCCUGGUGUGGUGGCAUGUGCCUGUAAUUCCAGCUACUCGGGAGGCUGAGGCAGGAGAACCGCUUGAACCCGGGAGGCAGAGGCUGCAGUGAGCCGAGAUCGCACCACUGCACUCCAGACUGGGCAACGAGAGCAAAACGGCAUCUCAAUAACCAAUAAAACACCACCACCACCACCACCAAACCGUGACAAACAGAGCUGGGCGAGGUCCUGAAGAGAUGUGUCAUGCCUGUGCCUGAGGAAAAAGACUAUGGGCACCACAGCCCUGCACGAAGGCCUUGAGACCCAAACAAUGCUUCUCCAAGGACGUCUGCUCAGCCACCGCCUGUCCAACCUCUGACUGGCCUCACCCCAGCUGUUGGUAUUUGUAGCCAAGGAUAAUUUUCAAAACAACAUGAUUCUCCCCAUUUUCCCUUAGAAACCCUCCUCUUCCUUUCCCUACAGGAAUAUGCACGUAGUUUACAGAGGCCAAGCAUUCCCUUUGCAGCUUGCUAGUCCCAAAUAAACAGCUCUUCUUUUAGGGAGUCCCUCUCUGUCUGUUAGUUAGCUGGACAUGGUAAAUUAUGCUGAUUGACUUUAGAAAGCUGAAUCCUGGCCGGGCACAGUGGCUCACGCCUGUAAUCCCAGCACUUUGGGAGGCUGAGGUGGGUGGAUCACGAGGUCAGGGGUUUGAGACCAGCUUGGCCAAUAUGGUGAAACCCUGUCUCUACUAAAAAUACAAAAAUUAGCCGAGCGUGGUGGCGCGCACCUGUGAUCCCAGCUACUUGGCAGGCUGAGGCGGGAGAAUCACUUGAACCUGGGAGGCGGAGGCUGCUGGGUUGCAGUGAGCCAGAAUCGCACCACUGUACUCCAGCCUGGGUGACAGAGCAAGAUUCCAUC